AUCAGAACUCUGCAGCGUACUUCUGGAGAAGAACAACACACGAGGAACCCGUGCCAGGAGGUGGGGCAAAGACAACAAAGGAACUGUUCAGCCUGGCCAGCUGACCAUUCCUGGAACUAUUUAACUCUCCAGUGGCCCAGGACAAGCACACGGCAAAUAGAAACAUUAAAGAGUCAGGUUCCUGAAGUACUGAGAACAUCUUUAACUGGUCAUUCAAAAAUGUCGUCUUUGAAAGAGGAGUGAUAUAGCCAAAAAUAUCUAUGGACAUGAACUAAGUGGCUGAGAUACUGAUGGAAUGUAACACCUAAAAUGUUAAAGAAACUUCAGACAGACUGGGAGUACUUGUGAUUCAAAAGAGUAACGAGGGGUUGAUGGCCCCCUGUUCAACAGAAAGCCACCCACUAUGGAUUACAUCGAAUACUGCAGACACAUUCUAUAUUUCACCCCUGGAGAAUACGCAGGACGGGGGUUUAGAAGCCGGUUUCCACUCCAAUAGAGUGGACUAGUGAGAUUGCACCAGUCUGGUUUUGAGCAUUAGUGUGCUCUGCAGAACUAUGCCCUGGUUAUACUUGUGUUGCAGCUAAAGCCUCUCUCAACUUCAGAGUGCCACAAAUCAGUUAAAAAGGAAAGAUACCAAAAGGCCUGUCUCUCGCCCUGAAUGCUGGAAUUCAAUCAUGGUCAAAAGGAAACAGAACUACAGAAUCUCAACCAGGCUACAACACUAAGGACAGUGAAACUUACUGUUCAAUGAUCAACAUCAAUACUCUUGGUAACUUCCACUGCAGCAGCACGAUGUUCAAUGAUCUUCUCUUUGUGAACAUUUCAGAGAAUAAUUUGUAUAACAUCUUUUAAAACUUAAUACUUUUGUAUUCUCCUCUUAUUUCUAAAUCAAU